rnacentral:rRNA from 1 species
GACGAACGCUGGCGGCGUGCUUAACACAUGCAAGUCGAACGAAGUGGCGAAAGGGUGAGUAACGCGUAAUCAACCUGCCCUUCAGGGGGGGACAACAGUUGGAAACGACUGCUCAUACCGCAUACAGAAGGAGGGGAUUGCGGCUGAUUCGCUCGUUGGAGGGGUAACGGCCCACCAGGGAGAUGAUCCGUAGCCGGUUUGAGAGGAAGAACGGCCACAUUGGGACUGGGACAAGGCCCAGAAUCCUACGGGAGGCAGCAGUGGGGAAUUUUCCGCAAUUGACGAAAGUCUUACGGAGCAACGCCGCGUGAGUGAUGACGGCCUUCGGGUUGUAAAGCUCUGUUAAUCGGGACGCGGUACCGGAAUAGAAAGCCACGGCUAACUACGUGCCAGCAGCCGCGGUAAUAC